GACGAACGCUGGCGGCGUGCUUAACACAUGCAAGUCGAACGGAAAGGCCCUGCUUUUGUGGGGUGCUCGAGUGGCGAACGGGUGAGUAACACGUGAGUAACCUGCCCUUGACUUUGGGGUAACUUCAGGAAACUGGGGCUAAUACCGGAUAGGAGCGCCUGCUGCCUGGGGGUGGUUGGAACGUUUCGGCGGUGGGGGGUGGACUGGCGGCUUAUUAGCUUGUUGGUGGGGUAGUGGCUUACCAAGGCUUUGAUGGGUAGCCGGCCUGAGAGGGGGACCGGCCACAUUGGGACUGAGAUACGGCCCAGACUCCUACGGGAGGCAGCAGUGGGGAAUAUUGCACAAUGGGCGGAAGCCUGAUGCGGCAACGCCGCGUGCGGGAUGACGGCCUUCGGGUUGUAAACCGCUUUCGCCUGUGACGAAGCGUGGGUGACGGUAAUGGGUAAAGAAGCACCGGCUAACUACGUG
rnacentral:rRNA from 1 species